AAAGGAGGUUGAUGAUGCACGAA
rnacentral:snRNA from 1 species